rnacentral:rRNA from 1 species
UCGAGAAUCUUCGGCAAUGGGGGAAACCCUGACCGAGCGACGCCGCGUGCGGGAUGAAGGCCCUUGGGUUGUAAACCGCUGUCGUAAGGGAACAAAUCCAUAGGGGUACUCCCCUAUGGUUGAGUGAUCUUAGGAGGAAGGACGGGCUAAGUUCGUGCCAGCAGCCGCGGUAAGACGAACCGUCCAAACGUUAUUCGGUAUCACUGGGCUUAAAGAGUUCGUAGGCGGCCAGACAGGUCAGGUGUGAAAU